UACGGGGGGGGCAAGCGUUGUUCAGAAUUACUGGGCGUAAAGGGCUCGUAGGUGGCCAACUAAGUCAGACGUGAAAUCCCUCGGCUUAACCGGGGAACUGCGUCUGAUACUGGAUGGCUUGAGUUCGGGAGAGGGAUGCGGAAUUCCAGGUGUAGCGGUGAAAUGCGUAGAUAUCUGGAGGAACACCGGUGGCGAAGGCGGCAUCCUGGACCGAUACUGACACUGAGGAGCGAAAGCCAGGGGAGCAAACGGG
rnacentral:rRNA from 1 species